GACCGCGUAGCUCAGUUGGCAGAGCAUUUGGCUAGUAUUCCAAAGGUUGUAGGUUCGAUUCCCACCGUGGUCA
rnacentral:tRNA from 1 species